UUAAGAUUUUAAGUUAAAUAAAAAACUAUUAAUCUUCAAAAUUAAAAAUAAAUAUUUUAAAUCUUA
rnacentral:tRNA from 2 species